CCACGUGACGUACAGACCUGCCACAAAUACAAAGUUCCUCUGUCCACUCGGACAGAGUCUCCUUUGUAUUUGCACGGCGUACCAACAACAUCAACAGGAUCACAACCACAAUCUACAAUUACCAAUCAACAGCCAUUACAUGAUAUGCAUUUUCAUACAGCUAACGAUCCUUAGAGAUGAUGCAUGCCUCUAAGCACUCCUUAGGCGCUGGAUGAUACAAUGCACAGUACAACAAUCAUCCUAUUUAAAAGUGCUCCCCACCCGGAAGCUUUAUUUUUAAACUCUAGUUCAAUCAUCCAUGAAAACCAUUCCAAAAUCUUUUUAAAAUUGUUUCCCACACGGAAACUCUAUUUUAAAAACCAGCUACCUCGAGGGGUAGAAAACAACAAUGCGUAAAUCCAUAAAUGCGAGAACCAAAAACCACAGAUCCACAAUUAUCCGUUCACAUGCAUGAAUAAUGAAAAUAUCCACAAAACCAAUCCACGAACAGGCAAACAAUCAUAGAGAUUAUCUAACUGAACCAUUUAUUAAUAAACUACUAAAUGCGAAAAUAAAAGUAACCUGGGUGACAGUCGCUACGGCAAGCUAGCUAGAUCGUCCUCUCGUCGUGCCCAAAAGCCAACUCCUUGCCCGAAAUACCUGGGGGAAUGGGGGGAGGGUGAGAAACCGCAACCAUGGUUUCUCAGUGGGUACGACAGAGCCACGAAGGCAAGUCGUAAUCACCGGAAACCAAAGGAGAUAGAUAAACGAGUAUAUAUGCUGAUAUGAAAAGUCUACAGUAGCUACAAUAGAUAAAUAAGAAGCAAUAAACAAACCUACUACUGUAUAGAUAAUAAUGCAAAGAAUGCCUCAAAGUACUGAACAGAAACUGUACCCAAUCUGUGCCUGCUGUAUUGGUCCGCAGACCUCAAGCGCUGCCUGUCACUAACUGCACCGACCUGAUCCAUCCGCCCCGCAGGACGACCUAUCCGGAUAAGUACACCUCCGAUCGGUGGCCAAACCGAUCCGGUGUCAUGAAUACCCCCAAGUGCUGUGACUAAGUCAAUGCUGGUAUGCUCAAACAA
rnacentral:lncRNA from 1 species